UACGGGGGGGGCAAGCGUUGUUCGGAAUUACUGGGCGUAAAGGGCUCGUAGGCGGCCAACUAAGUCAGACGUGAAAUCCCUCGGCUUAACCGGGGAACUGCGUCUGAUACUGGAUGGCUUGAGUUUGGGAGAGGGAUGCGGAAUUCCAGGUGUAGCGGUGAAAUGCGUAGAUAUCUGGAGGAACACCGGUGGCGAAGGCGGCAUCCUGGACCAACACUGACGCUGAGUGAGCGAAAGCGUGGGGAGCAAACAGG
rnacentral:rRNA from 1 species